UACGAAGGGGGCUAGCGUUGCUCGGAAUUACUGGGCGUAAAGGGCUCGUAGGCGGCCAACUAAGUCAGACGUGAAAUCCCUCGGCUUAACCUGGGAACUGCGUCGGAUACUGGAUGGCUUGAAUUCGGGAGAGGGAUGCAGAAUUCCAGGUGUAGCGGUGAAAUGCGUAGAUAUCUGGAGGAAUACCGGUGGCGAAGGCGGCAUCCUGGACCGACAUUGACGCUGAGGAGCGAAAGCUAGGGGAGCAAACGGGG
rnacentral:rRNA from 1 species